rnacentral:rRNA from 1 species
AGAACGCUGGCGGGCGUGCCUAACACAUGCAAGUCGAGCGGGGGUUGAAGCGAGAGGUAACUCGAACUUCUACCUAGCGGCGGACGGGUGAGUAACGCGUGGGCAACCUGCCUCAAGGUCUGGGAUAACAGCCCGAAAGGGCUGCUAAUACUGGGUAUGCUUGUGGCCUCGCAUGGGGCUAUGAGCAAAGGGGAAACCCGCCUUGAGAUGGGCCCGCGUCCCAUCAGCUAGUUGGUGAGGUAACAGCUCACCAAGGCGACGACGGGUAGCCGGCCUGAGAGGGUGACCGGCCACACUGGGACUGAGACACGGCCCAGACUCCUACGGGGGGCAGCAGUGGGGGAUCUUGCACAAUGGGCGAAAGCCUGAUGCAGCGACGCCGCGUGAGCGAAGAAGGCCUUCGGGUUGUAAAGCUCUGUCUGGAGGGACGAAGGAAGUGACGGUACCUCCGGAGGAAGCCACGGCUAACUACGUG